CAGUCCUUCCACAGAGUUAACCAGCAUCAGGGCUGCCCUGAAAUUUGGAGGAGGGUGUUUUACCCUUAACUAGUUAAUCUUGGGAACCAGGAUCCAGACAUCUGCAGCCCAAAACAGGAAUCAGGCCUACAAGAAACCAUGGAAUCCUAGCUUUCAUUGAUUUCUUACUGAUUUUCAAAUGAAAGUAAAAAUAUCAGAAUUUCCUGGAGGACACAUACUUAAAUCAGCAACGGUGCUGGGGAAAAGCUGUUCCAAUAAGACGUUUAACUUUGUGGGAGCAAUGGCAAAGUGCUGAGUGAAUAGGCCUGAUGAAUGAAGAGAAGCAAAGAGACGGAAAUACUCCAAACUGCUCUGUUACAUUCAAACAGUAUUCUUCAGUUCAGGGAAAAAUAACACCACACCAAACAAACAAAAAGUCCAAAUAGACCUCUAGAAUGAUUUCAGAUGAUGAUUAAUUGUGAAGGUUGUCAUGGAAAUCAGGGAAAUCAUUGACUCGCAAUGGAUUUCCUUGAGGUUCAGCAGCUAUCACCAAGCAGAAUCAGACCAGCAGGCAGUCACAAUAACGUUUGAUGCAUGAUGGAGAGUACCACAGGAUUUACAACUGU